rnacentral:misc_RNA from 1 species
AAGUCGUAACAAGGUCUCCGUUGGUGAACCAGCGGAGGGAUCAUUACAGAGUUGCAAAACUCCCAACCAUUGUGAACCUACCUCACCGUUGCCUCGGCGGGUGGCCCCUCCCCCUCACCCGGGGUUGGGCCGCGCCGGCACCCGACUCCAGGGCGCUGGCAAUCCCGUCAGAGGACCUGUAACUCUUAGUAAUCAUUGGCCUCUCUGAGUAACUUAUACAAUAAGUCAAAACUUUCAACAACGGAUCUCUUGGUUCUG